AGGAAUUGGGGAGUGUUCCUUCUUUAUUUUGUAACUGAAAUAGAACUCACAUGUGAAGUCCUGUUAUUUUCUUCUUUUUUCAGACUGCCUUUUUUUUUUGGAGAUGGGUCUUUCGACAUUGCCCAGGCUGGGAUGCAGUGGCUAUUCACAGUAGCAGGGUUUCACCAUGUUGAUUGGGCUGCUCUUGAACGUCUGACCUCAGGUAAUCCACCCGCCCUGGCCUCCCAAAGUACUGGGAUUACAGGUGUGAGCCACCUCACCUGGCCUCCCUGGCCUAAGUGUGUUUAGUUUUAUAAGACACCUCCCUUUUUAAUAUUCUUCAUUUUGGGUUUGUCCGAUGUUUCCUUAUAAUUAAAUUCAGGUUAUGCAUUCUAUUUCAGAAUACUGCGUAGGUGAUGUUGUGUCAUCAGGGCAGCAAGUCUUCCGGGAGCAUGAAACAUCCAUCUGUCCUGCAAUGGUCAUGUCAGUUGUGCUCACCCACGGAAGAUGCUGUCAGUUAUCUUCAUGAUAUACUUGCUAUUUUUUCCCUCCAUUUCUAUUAAUAAACAGUUUGUGGAAGGGGAUACAUUCAGGUUUUGCAAACAUCCUCUUUCUUUUCAAAAUUUUCCCUAAAUUGGCUGGGUGCAGUGAAUCAUGCCUGUAAUCCCAGCAUUUUGGGAGGCAGAUCCCUUCAGGUCAGGAGUUUGAGACCAGCCUGGCUAACAUAGUGAAACCACAUCUCUACUAAAACAUGCAAAAAUUGCCUGGAUUUGGUGGCGCAUGUCUGAAGUCCCAGCUACUCGGGAGGCUUGAGGAAGGAGAAUUGCUUGAACCCAGGAAGUAUAGGUUGCAGUGAGCUGAGAUUGUGCCACUGCACUCCAGCCUGGGUGACAGAGCAAGACUCCAUCUCAAAAAAAAAAAAAAAAAAAAAAAAAAUUCCCCUAGAUUUAGCAUCCAUUGAUUAAUUCUUGCUUAAUCCACUCUUUGUUAUGGCAGUGACAAAAUGAUAAUUUUAAAGUUUCUGAAUGCCACAUCUAACAGUUGGCUUUCAGCAUUCUACUGUUAGCAAAACCCUCCCUUCUUCACAUUGGUUUAUUUGUGUUUAUAUUUAUUAGCAGUAUG
rnacentral:lncRNA from 1 species